rnacentral:miRNA from 8 species
UGCCCUGCCUGUUUUCUUCUUUG